CCUACGGGAGGCAGCAGUGGGGAAUCUUGCGCAAUGGGCGAAAGCCUGACGCAGCAACGCCGCGUGCGGGAAGAAGGCCUUCGGGUUGUAAACCGCUUUCAGCAGGAACGAAAAUGACGGUACCUGCAGAAGAAGGUGCGGCCAACUAUGUGCCAGCAGCCGCGGUGAUACAUAGGCACCAAGCGUUGUCCGGAUUUAUUGGGCGUAAAGAGCUCGUAGGCGGUUCAGUCAGUCGGGUGUGAAAACUCUGGGCUUAACCCAGAGCCUGCACCCGAUACUGCUGUGACUAGAGUUCGGUAGGGGAGCGGGGAAUUCCUGGUGUAGCGGUGAAAUGCGCAGAUAUCAGGAGGAACACCGAUGGCGAAGGCACCGCUCUGGGCCGAAACUGACGCUGAGGAGCGAAAGCAUGGGUAGCAAACAGGAUUAGAUACCCUGGUAGUCCAUGCCGUAAACGUUGGGCACUAGGUGUGGGUUCCAAUCAACGGAAUCCGCGCCGUCGCUAACGCAUUAAGUGCCCCGCCUGGGGAGUACGGUCGCAAGACUAAAACUCAAAUGAAUUGACGG
rnacentral:rRNA from 1 species